rnacentral:rRNA from 1 species
CCUACGGGAGGCAGCAGUGAGGAAUAUUGGACAAUGGGCGCAAGCCUGAUCCAGCCAUGCCGCGUGCAGGAUGACGGUCCUAUGGAUUGUAAACUGCUUUUAUACGAGAAGAAACACUACUUCGUGAAGUAGCUUGACGGUAUCGUAAGAAUAAGGAUCGGCUAACUCCGUGCCAGCAGCCGCGGUAAUACGGAGGAUCCAAGCGUUAUCCGGAAUCAUUGGGUUUAAAGGGUCCGUAGGCGGUUUAAUAAGUCAGUGGUGAAAGCCCAUCGCUCAACGGUGGAACGGCCAUUGAUACUGUUAGACUUGAAUUAUUAGGAAGUAACUAGAAUAUGUAGUGUAGCGGUGAAAUGCUUAGAGAUUACAUGGAAUACCAAUUGCGAAGGCAGGUUACUACUAAUAUAUUGACGCUGAUGGACGAAAGCGUGGGUAGCGAACAGGAUUAGAUACCCUGGUAGUCCACGCCGUAAACGAUGGAUACUAGCUGUUGGAAGCAAUUUCAGUGGCUAAGCGAAAGUGAUAAGUAUCCCACCUGGGGAGUACGUUCGCAAGAAUGAAAACUCAAAGUAGUAAGUUGGCGNGNGAGAGCGACGACGACGACGAGGAGGGAGGAGG